GAUGAACGCUGGCGGCGUGCCUAAUACAUGCAAGUCGAGCGAACAGACGAGGAGCUUUCUCCCCUGACGUUAGCGGCGGACGGGUGAGUAACACGUGGAUAACCAUCUUCUUAUUCUGGGAUAAUAUCGGGAAACCGGAGCUAAUACUGGAUAACAUGUUCAACCGCUUGGUUCAACAGUGAAUGACGGUUUUGCCGUCUCUUUUAGACGGAUCCGCGCCGCAUUAGCUAGUUGGUAAGGUAACGGCUUACCAAGGCAACGAUGCGUAGCCGACCUGAGAGGGUGAUCGGCCACACUGGAACUGAGACACGGUCCAGACUCCUACGGGAGGCAGCAGUAGGGAAUCUUCCGCAAUGGGCGAAAGCCUGACGGAGCAACGCCGCGUGAGUGAAGAAGGUCUUCGGAUCGUAAAGCUCUGUUAUUAGGGAAGAACAGAUGUGUAAGUAUAUAUGCACGUCUUGACGGUACCUAAUCAGAAAGCCACGGCUAACUACGUG
rnacentral:rRNA from 1 species